UACGGGGGGGGCAAGCGUUGUUCGGAAUUACUGGGCGUAAAGGGUUCGUAGGUGGCCAACUAAGUCAGACGUGAAAUCCCUCAGCUUAACUGGGGAACUGCGUCUGAGACUGGAUGGCUUGAGUGCAGGAGAGGAACGCGGAAUUCCAGGUGUAGCGGUGAAAUGCGUAGAUAUCUGGAGGAACACCGGUGGCGAAGGCGGCUUUCUGGACAAAUACCGACGCUGAGGCACGAAAGCUAGGGGAGCAAACAGG
rnacentral:rRNA from 1 species